CAGAGCCGUGCUGAGGACCAUGGCACACGGACUCCUACUGGCGCCAUCCCAGCCCUGGGAGCUAUAGCAUGAUGUAUACCCAGGAGUGGAAUUGCUGGGUCAUUCAUAUGGAGUCCAUUGACAUUUAAAGUGAUUCAUAGGGGGGUGCUGCACCGCAUGGCA